rnacentral:rRNA from 1 species
UACGAAGGGGGCUAGCGUUGCUCGGAAUCACUGGGCGUAAAGCGCACGUAGGCGGGUCUUUAAGUCAGAGGUGAAAUCCUGGAGCUCAACUCCAGAACUGCCUUUGAUACUGGAGACCUUGAGUUCGGGAGAGGUGAGUGGAACUGCGAGUGUAGAGGUGAAAUUCGUAGAUAUUCGCAAGAACACCAGUGGCGAAGGCGGCUCACUGGCCCGAUACUGACGCUGAGGUGCGAAAGCGUGGGGAGCAAACAGG